rnacentral:rRNA from 1 species
AUGGCGCCCACCCAAGGCAAGCAGAGUUCUCAGGAUUUGCUCGAGGCUCAAGUUGACCUUUGGCACCAUUCAUUGGGAUUUGUCAAGUCCAUGGCACUCAAAUGUGCAAUGGAACUGCAAAUCCCUAACACCAUCCAACACCAUGGUGGGGCUAUGACUCUUUCUGAGCUGGCCACAAAGACAGGGAUCCAUCCGUCUAAGCUUCCCCCCUUACGGCGACUCAUGCGUGUACUCACCGUAUCAGGCAUCUUUGUUGUCCAUGACUCAGCCUCGGGAGACAACAAGGAGGCUGUGUAUGGACUUACCCCAAGCACGUGCCUCCUCGUCAGCGAUGAAGUUAAAUCAAACCUAUUUCCCAUUCUGUCUUUGUUCCUUGAUUCAACUGCCAUUACACCCUUUUUCGGCAUGCACUCAUGGUUCCUAGAUGAGCAUUCCACGUCCCUGUUCAAAAAGGCUCACGGCCUUAACGUUUGGGAAAUGGCUGACCAGAACAAUGCUUGCAACGAGCAAAUCAAUAACGCGAUGGUUUCUGAUAGUAACUUUUUCAUCAAUAUCCUCUUGAGGGAGUGUGGUGAUGUAUUUCUUGGCAUAAACUCACUUAUUGAUGUUGCGGGAGGACACGGUGGAGCUGCUAGGGCAAUUGCUAUGUCGUUCCCCCAGAUGAAAUGCACUGUGUUGGAUCUCCCUCAUGUGGUUGCUGGAGCUCCCAGUGAUGCCCAUGUGUCAUUUAUUUCUGGCGAUAUGUUUAAGUACAUUCCACCGGCGGAUGCUCUUUUCCUGAAGUGCAUUUUUCACGAUUGGUGUGAUGAAGACUGUGUCAAGCUACUGAAGAAUUGCAAGGAAGCUAUCCCUCCCAGAGAUGCUGGUGGAAAGGUGAUAAUCGUUGAUAUGGUGGUUGGAUCUGGGCCAGAUGACAUUGUAACAAGAGAGACACAGGUUUUCUAUGAUCUCUUUAUCAUGGGUGCUGAGGGGAUUGAGCGAGAGGAAUUUGAGUGGAAGAAGAUAUUUAUGGAAGCUGGGUUCAGCAAUUACAAAAUUCUAUCAGUGCUGGGAGUUAGAUCUGUUAUUGAGCUCUACCCUUGA